UACGAAGGGGGCUAGCGUUGCUCGGAAUCACUGGGCGUAAAGCGCACGUAGGCGGCUUUCUAAGUCAGGGGUGAAAUCCUGGAGCUCAACUCCAGAACUGCCUUUGAUACUGGGGAGCUCGAGUCCGGAAGAGGUGAGCGGAACUCCGAGUGUAGAGGUGAAAUUCGUAGAUAUUCGGAAGAACACCAGUGGCGAAGGCGGCUCACUGGUCCGGUACUGACGCUGAGGUGCGAAAGCGUGGGGAGCAAACAGG
rnacentral:rRNA from 1 species